rnacentral:lncRNA from 1 species
CUUUAAUGAGUCAUUAUGAUGCUUCCUAUUCUGUUUACUUUUGUCUAUCUUGCCUACGUCUUAAACUCCAAAAUUAGACCCCUCAUUGAUAGCUCUAUGUCCUGGUUUCAGUUGAGACAGAAUGGAAUUUUCUUCGUAGUGUCUGAUAUGAUGCUAAAUGUUGGCUUUGAGGAGAAAAACAUUGUUGAUCGUACACUGAUGGUGGCUGUUGUUGAGUGAUGGGUGUGCACCCAGGGCAGGUCUGUGACAAAGGUGCCCAAGGAAUUAUUCCAUACCAUAUGACAUCAUGCAGAAGGCUGUGAAGUUGUGGGGAGGUGGCUGCGGUGCUGGCCACUACUUGGGGAUGGGCUGGGUGUUGGUCAGCAGGUGGUGAGUUGUUGGGUUGCUAGUGCAGCAUCAGGUGGUGAGUGGUUGUGCUGUGGGGAUGCAACAGUUACCAUUGCAAUUUUCUUCCUAUUUUUUUUCUCUUUUCCUUUUCUGUCUAAGUAAAUAGUCUUUAUCUCAACUCACGAGUUCUAUUUUGUUUUCUCCCACUUGGAGAUGGUGGGAGUGAGCGUAUGGCCAUGUGGUGCUUAGCUGCCUGCAAGGUUAAACCACAACGCUGUAAUAAUUAAGAAGAAGCUGUCAGUUGUGUUCUUUUGCAUCUUUAGUUUUUUAAUAAUUUUAUAUUUGGAUUUUCAAGAAGGAACUCUCCUUCCUGUUCUGCCAUAAAUGUAAGAAGUAUUGCAAGGAAAUAUGUUUCCUAUGCAUUUUUUUUGAGACCUGACCUAUUUGCUGGAAUUUUGCUUCAAAUUUUUAUUGUGUAUAUACAGAGUAUAUGUAUACAUGUCUUUGUGUGUUUCUUGUGUAUACACAAAGGCAAGCUUCAGAACCAUGGCAAAGAACUCAUAGUUCCUGUGAUCCUGUUUUGAUUCUGAAGUCUACCUGUAAACAAUAUGCAACCAACAUGUUUUUAUUUUCCCAAGAUGCACUUUCCAUGGAGAUUGGAAUGGUCAUAUACUUAAGAGUACAGUUAGUAACUGACAACAGAAGAUUGUAGUUUUCCUUUAUGAAGAUCGAAGUCCUUUUCACAUGUGGUAACAAUUUCUAAAUCU